rnacentral:rRNA from 1 species
CGGACGGGUGAGUAACACGUGGAUAACCUACCUAUAAGACUGGGAUAACUUCGGGAAGCCGGAGCUAAUACCGGAUAAUAUAUUGAACCGCAUGGUUCAAUAGUGAAAGACGGUUUUGCUGUCACUUAUAGAUGGAUCCGCGCCGCAUUAGCUAGUUGGUAAGGUAACGGCUUACCAAGGCAACGAUGCGUAGCCGACCUGAGAGGGUGAUCGGCCACACUGGAACUGAGACACGGUCCAG